ACAGGAGGAGAGAGACAGACAGCUGGAGACUCAGACACUCAGACGAGUGGAGAGAGAACUGUUGGAGAAGGUCCAGCUGACGGAGAGAGAGACUCUGCACCGGAUGGAGAUCCACACUCUGAAGGGGGCGCUGGAGAGGCAGCAGUUGGACAGACAGAGAGCAGAAGAAGAGGCUGCUGAUGCCAGAGAUGCUCUGCAGAAGGUCCUGGCUCUAGUUUAC